GGCCCGGCGACCCCACCUGUCAGGCCCUUCCUCUACCUUCGGCUUCCCAGGCCGAAGCCACCAUGGCCGGCCGUUGCCGCCCACGCCCCGUCGAAUCCGGCGCCUUCCCGCUCGCACCCCUGCUCCAAAACCGAGUAAAAUCGGUUCCCCACCACCUCCUCCACCUUUUCCCCCACUCUCCCAAUGAAAAUCAGCGCCGGUUUGCCCCCGCCACGUGCCACGUCGCCACUCCACCACGCCGGCCGUUGCCGCCCAUCCCGGCCACGAUUUCCCCUCCCGGAGCUAUAAAAACCCUCCCCCGGCCUUCCUCUCUCGUUUCCCCUCCUUUCCCGAGCCCGCCGCGCGCCCCCGCGCUCUCCCCACGCCGAGCCGUGCGCCGCCGCUUGCCGUCGAGCUCCAGCCGGUCGCCACAGCCGCUCCCGUCGCCGCCGCGCCACGCAAACACCGCCGUCGGCAUCGCCAUGCCUUGCCGCACCCCGUCCACCGCUCCUCUUCCCCAAUCCAUAGCCGAAACGCUGCCGCCACGCGCACCAUCUCUUUCCUCCACCGUCGCCAACUCCAGCCGCGCACCACCGCCACCAUAGCCGUCGCCGCUUCGCGCCGCCAACAUCGCCAGCUUCUCCGCCGCGUGGGCAAGCCCGGCCACCGAUCCGUUUUCCCCCUUCACCACUGAAACUCCACCUCCACUGCCAACCCGAGCCGCCACCAUCUCUACCGCCUCCGGCCAUCCCUCGCCGCCGCUCUGAGCGACCUCCGGCCUCGCGUCCUCCUCCGGUAGCAUCGCGGCGACGAUAGGGAGCCUGGCAUCCCCUCAAACGAGCUCCCCGUCGCCGGUGCCCAUCCUCCCUGCUUUGAGAGGUCGUUCUGGUCCCCGGCCGUCACUCGUCGCCCGUCGGCCGCCGUUGGAGCGUCGCCGUCGUCCUCGCCCCGGGGAGCGCCGCCGCUAUCUCGCCUCCGUCCGGUGCCGUGCCGCUUGCAUGUAGAAUCCGUUGUUUCGGAAGUCCGCGGUCGCAAAGGAGAAGAGUUCGGAAGAUC